rnacentral:rRNA from 1 species
GAUGAACGCUGGCGGCGUGCCUAAUACAUGCAAGUCGAGCGAACAGAUGAGGAGCUUGCUCCUCUGACGUUAGCGGCGGACGGGGGAGUAACACGUGGAUAACCUACCUAUCAGACUGGGAUAACUUCGGGAAACCGGAGCUAAUACCGGAUAAUAUAUUUAACCGCAUGGUUCAAUAGUGAAAGACGGUUUUGCUGUCACUUAUACAUGGAUCCGCGCCGCAUUAGCUAGUUGGUAAGGUAACGGCUUACCAAGGCAACGAUGCGUAGCCGACCUGAGAGCGUGAUCGGGCACACGGUAACAGAGACACGGUCCAGACACCUACAGGAGGCAGCGGUAGGGAAUCUUCCGGAAGGGGCGAAAGCGUGACGGAGCAACGCCGGGUGAGUGAUGAAGGUCUUCGGAUCGUAGAACUCUGUUGUUAGGAAAGAACAAAUGUGUAAGUAACUAUGCACGUCUUGACGGUACCUAAACAGAAAGCCACGGCUAACUACGUG